CUCCGUGGCAUGUGGGAUCUUCCCGGACCGGGGCAUGAACCCGUGUCCCCUGCAUCGGCAGGCGGACUCUCAACCACUGCACCACCAGGGAAGCCCGAUGUUGAUGUUUUAACAUGGUCCUGAACUUCAGUGCAGCCAAACUUCAGAAAGUUAAAGAAACGGAACAUUUAGGGGUUACCAGGGCUCUCGUGUCUCUGCCUCCUCCAUGUCUUUUCCUUCUGCUCUUUGAUUACUUAUCCUGAGGGUCAGGGCUGUGGGGAGAGGGGAUGGAGUCAGAGCUGCACUGAAAGCAGCCACCGCAGAGGAGAGGUCUGCCUCCAUCCUGACAAAAGAACCAAGGCAAAAGGAAGGCCAGCUUAUGCUACCAGGGGAAGAAAAGCGAGUAUCUGCUCACCACAUGCACAUGCUCUGGGGAAUGGGAACCUCUAUCUGUGCAAUGCCCUUGAUCCUCUGACUUAAUAUGGCCCACUUUGGUUUUAGGGAAAACACUCUGCUUCCUGACGCUCACUGUUUUCUAAGUCCUCACAUACCUUCUGUGCAGUAAUCCAUUCUUGAAUUUUGCCAAGGAUCCACAUCAAAAUUUCUUGUCUACCGUUUUUAGUAUAUAUUGUUUUCAUCAUAUUGCAAAUAGAGCUAUCUGUCCUUUCCUGGUCUUGCAGCAUCUCUCUGAUCUUCAUGGUUUCUCAAAGACUAUUGACAGGGAUUCUGAGAAUAAGGCUCCGGUGCUGUCAGUCGUCUGGGGUGGAAUCACCUGGGCCUGGCAGACUGAGCUCAUUAAAAUCUUACAGUCUUCUCACCUGGGAGGUCUGUCUGGUCUCUCCAGGCAUACAAUGGUAAUUUAGAAGUUCUACCUUCUCCCUUAUCUAUGGCUUUUGUUAUCUUCCCAAGCAGUGACCUUUCCUCUCACAUCUCUUGCUCUGAAGAGGCUAAUUUAGAAAUAACUCUUGAGGUCUCUCUCCUUUUCCACAAGUAAUCUUUCAUUCUGGGCUUAAUCCUUUGGACAAUACUCUUAGUCUUUUAUGACUAUUCAAUAAAUAUAAGUAAAAAUAAUUUGUUAAUUAUGAUAUAUUGAUUUGAUUAAAUCAAUCAACACUUAGGUUGGACUUCGGUCGGCUCCCCAAUCCCCCCUCAGCCCACAGAGGAAAGGAUGCCCACCUGUGGAUGCCCACUGAAUAGUGUUGGGAAAGCUCUGGAGGAUGUUUUGCUGGUACCUCCAGACAACUGUAUGGUCAGACCAUUCAAGAUGGCUGUUCUCUUGCUCUCUGUCCAUUCUCUGCUGACCAGCCCCUCCUUCACCUACAUGACUAUCCAAUCUGCUUAACUAUAGGGCUUAAUCAGUAACCACCUACAUGCUUGCCCCCACCCCCAGGCUCUGGUUUCCCCGGUGAGCCUACUUGACAUCAAUUCUCCCUAUAAAUGGUCUCCUCCCUCACUGAGUAGUGAAGAUUGCUGUCUUGUUCUGCCUGCUGUUUGCCGAACACUGUGGAGCGUCGCUCCAGGACCUUUGUUUAGGACUUUUGGUGACUGGUGUGGCCAGGGAGGAAAGGGGCCUGGGAGUGACCACCCAUCUCUGGAAGCAUGACUGAGCUGAGCCUGAAGCCUCUGGUUUUCUUCCCUAAGGACUCUGUUCUCAUUGCAGAGCUGAGGUGUGGACUCCAGGCCCGGACUGUAGAAGUUAGAGGACCAGGACACAGAAGUCAGCAGGCAGAUAUGAGCAGAUUCGGAUGGAAGAGAAGUCAGAGGAUUCUGGGGACCAGACCUGGUUAGAUCUGCCGCGAGGAAAGUUACUCUCUGAGCUCAGAUACAGCUGCAACGGGAGCAUAGUACUUGCCCCCUGCCUUGCUGAUGUAAGGAGCAAAUACAGAAAAGCAGACCUCGGUGCUUUGAAAUCUGCGAAGGUCUGCCUAGGGGUUGACCUCCAGCAGCUCCCUAAUUACAACCAGAAACAGGAAGGCCUGGGCCUCUCCUACCGCUUCCGCGGGCAGUGGAGCUGAGCCUGUGUUCCAGCUGCUCCCGCAGGCGGUCGUUAAUGCAGAUGGACUCCUCCAGGCGCUGGCGCAGGUUCCGGAUUUCACCAAGGUGCUCCUCUAGCAGGGACCUGAACUGAGCCCACACACUGAAAACACAGAACUGAGGCAGGAGACGGAAGAAAGAAAAUCAGCAGGUUUGGAGGACGAAAAAAACCCAAAGAAAAGCAAGGUAAUGGUGGAGGAGGUGGUUGCCAAGGAAGGUGAGAAUAAGAACCAGCUGGGUUCAGAAAAGUCAAGAGAACGUGAGGAAUGCACACAGCAUCAUCCAGGUCCUCAAUGAGCAGCCUGAGCUGAGCAGGGAGGACUGAGAGAGUAACUUACUGCACAGUGAACUUGUGCACAUGCCAAGGAGAUCCACAGGACGGAUCAGGGCUGGUUUAUACUUCUGGGAACACCAAUUCCAGGAGGAGGAGGAUGGGACCUUGAUGCUUUGCCCUAGACCCCCAAACCUCAAACUUGGAACUGCCCACAUAGUGGAUGCCCUCCAACUGCAUGGUCUCUUCUGGUCCAAGAACCCUGGUUCUCAGUUAGCUUUGAGCCUCUCAGGAUCCAACUAACACCUGGGCUCCAUGUUGCCUCAAAGCAAUCAACACUGCCAAGGUCUCCAGAGAAAACUACUAAUAACAGUAGUUACUGACUAUGUCCUGGCCAGCUGGAGAGGU